rnacentral:tRNA from 1 species
GGCCACGUGGCGGAGUGGUUACGCAGAGGACUGCAAAUCCUCGUACGGGGGUUCGAUUCCCUCCGUGGCCU